CAAACACUAACAGUCUUCCAGCCGUCCUGGUGUUUUGAUAUUGAGGUGCUGGAAUUCUGGGACAUGCAGGGCGACAGGUGGAGAAGGAAAGAAAUGAAAAAGACUUAAACACUUUGAAAAGGACUAAUGCAGGACAAGAAUGUUGAUAUUGUAUGAUUCUGUUGAAAAAAAGUGUUUUUCUGCUGCUGCACUCUCAUUUCAAACAUUUCCAGUAACAUGUCCUUGUAUUGAAGUCAGCCAUGUUGUUUUAGUUUGAAAAGGGUCUUAAUUUACUCAAGAUGUAGAGCACAUUUGUCCCACUGAAGAUAGUAAAGAAUUAGACAUCUUGAUGGGGUGCAGCCCGUUUGUAGCCCAAAUACAUUGACAAAAGUUUGUGUAAACUUCAUCUGGACUUUGUUUCAGCUCUUCAACAGUUUGUUUCCAUCCAAAUGGGAGAUUCAACCAGUCUGAAGCCUUUUUUCUUUUACCUGGCUGGGACCUCACACUGAUGUACAAUUGCUUCUCUCACUGUUUGUAAUCCUGUUUCCACUUUAACUGAUCUCUUCCACUACCAAUCAAGAGAAUGAUAAUGCAUUAUGUCUCGUGUCAUUGGACCCGGCUGAUCACCUUCACCGGCACCUGGCUGGGAUGUUACAGAGUUUGCUAAGGUCCUGGCCGGUUUGUGUUACAAUUCAUGGACAAAGAUUUCAUGAACUUCAUCUGGACUUUGCUAUGGACAGUUCUUUGCAAUACUGUAUUUAAGCCUACAACUCAAGCCUAAUUUUGGGCGAAGUCUGGACCUCAUUUUGUUGCUAUAAUGUACGUCUGACGCUAAUGAUCCGGGAAUUGAAACUGAGUCUACCGGUGACUUCACUUAAAGUUGAUAUGGAUAAAAGUCAGCAACAACCAGGGAUGGCUAGUUACUGAAUUUUCAGGAUGAAGUGGGCGUCCAUUUUAUUAACUAUUGUGUUACUGCUCACUGGUGAGUGUGAAGCCUCUGAUGAACGCUCAGACGUUGGACACGAUGAGGAUGUGCACCCCAACACCCUCACAGAAACAAACGGGGAUGUGCUGGACAUGAUUAUCCAAACCAGCCGGGAUGUACUAGACACAAACGUUGAAACAAUUUGGGACAUAAACAACGACAACUAUGAGGACACUGACUGGCAUCCUCCUGCCUCCCUCCUGGAAACACACUCUGAUCUAUCCCCAGACACCCAGUCGGUGAUAGACAGCAGAAACACUGUUAACACCAACCAUACCUUCAACCGGAUUAUUGAUAGUUCAUCAGCACAGUGUGGCGAGUACAGCAGCCAUCUGACGUCUAGCGGCCAGUGCCGGCUGAUGGCAACACUGCCUCCAGUGCUGGUGGGAAAGUCACAGCAACGCUGCCCGGAUAUGUUUCGCUGCACGGACGACAUCUCAUAUUGGCUCCACGAGAACCAGAACAGAAAUGAACAGCUGGAGGAGCUGAGGGAGACGAUGUCAGAGCUGCAGGAGGAGCUGAGGGACCACCACCAUCGAGUCAAGGCCCUGCAGGUGCAGGAUGUAGAAUGUGUUAGUUUAAAGUCUACUUUUGACCUGCAAGUUGCGUUCUCUGGAGUUUCGUCACGCCAAGACCGACACGCUGCUUUACGUGCAUGCAGCGCUGCUGUACGAGCUGCAGACGCAGCUGCACAACCUGUCAGCCGCUGUGCAGCGCAUGAGCAGUAACACGGGCUGCACGAUAAAAGUCCUCAGAACUACACCGCUGCUCAGCAUGCCAGACACACCAGGUACACAUGCAACCAACAC
ensembl:lncRNA